rnacentral:rRNA from 1 species
CACGUAGGCACCAAGCGUUGUCCGGAUUUAUUGGGCGUAAAGAGCUCGUAGGCGGUUGAGUAAGUCGGGUGUGAAAACUCUGGGCUUAACCCAGAGCCGCCACCCGAUACUGCUCUGACUUGAGUUCGGUAGGGGAGCAGGUAAUUCCUAGUGUAGCGGUGAAAUGCGCAGAUAUUAGGAGGAACACCGGUGGCGAAGGCGCUGCUCUGGGCCGAUACUGACGCUGAGGAGCGAAAGCGUGGGUAGCAAACAGG